rnacentral:lncRNA from 1 species
GCUCCGGGAGCGCAGAGGCAGCGGGAGGAGGAGGCCGCGAGCGCCCGCACGGAGCGGUGAGAGGGGGCAGCGAGGGGCUGGGGGGCGCAGGGGGGGUGGGAGAGGGGCUCGGCUGCUGCUGUUGAGGCAGGAUGGGAAUGAAUAGACUUGACUCAGAAGGUUGUGAGAGUGAAACUUCGAUUUAUUUAAAAUACACCGCUCCUUUAUACAGAGCUCCGUGAGGACUAAAUCUAUUGAAGUGAAAACAAUCCACAGCUUUGGUGUACAGUGCUUGACACAGAACUUACCUAUAAACAAUGUGAAAAACAAGAGAGAUAAAGAAUUAUUUACAUUCUUAUUUAGCUCUUUCCCAGGCGUCUGCCUGGCUAGAAACUCUCAGUUUCUCUCUUUGACUGAAUCCGAGUCCCACACUCGGCCACCCCAGGGUUGGCUAAGAUUGCUCACAGGGGGGGUCCCACCACGCUGGAAAUCUUCAUGGUGCCCCCCCGCCCACCGAGGGGGGACCCAGUGAGGUUCCCCACCUUUGGAACACCCCUUGUACCCCCAGAACAAGGAGCCGGGGGUCCCUCCGACCCUCCCAGCCGAUGACUCCUACGAAGACACCGAACCCCCCGAGCACGGUGAGGUCUCCCCACGACCCCUCCCCAGCUCCCUGAGGUCUCCCCACGACCCCUCCCCAGCUCCCCCCGCGCCCCCCACCCGGCCUGACCAACCCCAUCCCGGCUCGCAGGCGGCGGCGACAGCGACAGCAGCCACUACGAGUCGUACGGAGAGGAGGAAGAGGAGGAGGAGGAGGAUGGGGGGGUGACGGACCGGGCCCAUUACCUGCGCUGGCCAGCGGGCACCAGCGCCGAGCCCCCCGAGCCCCCCGGGCGCCCCGAGGCGCAGCUCUGCGGUUUCCUCUGGAGGAAGCGCUGGCUGGGCCGGUGGGCCAAGCAGCUUUUCAUCGUCCGGGAGCACGUCCUGCUGGUGAGGGGCUGGCAGGAGGAUGGGUAAAGGUGGCACAGGGGCUCCGUGCCCAACUCUAACCCCUCCGUGCCCCCCUGCCCCCGCCGUGCCCACCCCGCAGUGCUUCAGGUGUGCCGCAGACCUGCAGCCGCUGCUGCAGCUGGACCUGCGCGGCUGCCGCGUCUCCUGCAAGGACAAGAGGGGCAAGAAGAUGCCCCAUGCCCUGAAGGUGGCAGGGAGGGCAGGAGAGGUGCUGGUCAUCGGCUUCCAGAGCCGGCAGCAGGCUGAGGACUGGAGGAAGGUGAUCGAGGAGGUGAGCAGCGAUGGCCCGAGCGGGCUGGCGGCUCUCGGGGUCCCAGCGCCGCCUUCCUCCAGGCCCGGCAGGGUGAGUUUGGUCCCCCCGGGAAAUAAACCCCAACCCCAUAUCCUGGGGAGAGCUGAGACCCCACAGUUUCGGGGCUCUCCCCACAGAUUCGGGGCUCCCCUCACAGAUUCGGGGCUCCCCCCACAGAUUCGGGGAUCCCCCUAUCCCCACUCCGGGCCUGCCUCACCGCAGCUCGGCAAGGAGGAAGAGGAGGAGGGGAGGAAGCGCUGCCGGCCGAGCCCCGCGCGGCGCGGAGAGGACGGCAAAGGAGGGUUCCCGGUGCUCCGGCAGCGCCUGCGGGCCGCGCUCCGUCGCGGAGCCCUGCGGGUGCUGGCGGUGCCCGGCGCUGCCCCGCGCCCGGAGGGGUGCCGGGGGUCCCCCGGGACGGCCGCCGGAUCCCCCCAAAACCUCCGCGCCCGCAUCGCCCAGCGCGGCCGGGAGCUGGCCCGGCUGCAGGCCCGUCCGGACCAGGGGAGCGAAGCCCGGCUGAGGACCCCACAGACCAGGGGGGCAGCGGAGCCCAAGAAGGGCGAGGGGCCCCCGCCGAGACCCCCGAGGCCGAGCAGCCGCCCCGCUGCCGGGGGGCUGCUGCUGCGCCGUGUGCCCACCCCCAACGCCUACAUGGACGAUCCCUCCGGGCACCCCCCGCCAGCCGGGACCCCCAAACAUCUCUCGUGCAGCGCGGAGCGGCUGCAGCAGCUGGUAACCUCUGCUGGUGCUCUGUGCCCCCCGCUCCUGCCCCUCAGGGGGGCAAAUCCACUCCCACUGUCCCUGUGCCCGUGGGUCUCACCGUCCCUGUGCCCCCGGGUACCAUCCCCGUGCCCACGGGCUUCACCAUCCGCUUCCCCCGGGCUUCACCGUGCCCGUACCCCCAGGGUUUCACCAUUGCCUUCCCCCGGGCUGUGCCAUCCCCUUGCCAUGGGCUUCACCGUGCCUGUGCCCGCGGGUUUCACCAUCCCCAUGCCCCUGGGUACCAUCCCUGUGCCCACGGGCUUCACCAUCCGCUUCCCCCGUGCUUCACCGUGCCCUCACCGCCGUUCUUCACCAUCCCUGUGCCCCCGGGUACCAUCCCCGUGCCCGUGGGUUUCACCAUCCGCUUUCCCCAGGCUGUGCCAUCCCUUUGCCACGGGCUUCACCGUGCCUGUGCCCGCGGGUUUCACCAUCCCCGUGUCCCCGUUCUUCACCGUGCCCUCGCCCCCGGGUUUCACCGUCUCCGUGUCCCCGGGCUUUACUGUGCCCUCACCCCCGGGUUUCACAAUCCCUGUGCCCCCCGGGUACCAUCCCCAUGCCCGUGGGUUUCACCACCUGCUUGCCCGCGGGCUUCACCAUCCCCUCACUCCCAUUUUUCACCAUCCCAGUGCCCCCUGGGCCGUGCCAUCACCUCACCCCCAGGUUUCACCCUCACCGUGCCCCCGGGCUUCACCGUGCCCUCACCCCCGGGUUUCACCGUGCCCUCACCCCCGUUCUUCACCAUCCCAGUGCCCCCUGGGCUCCACCAUCCCCUCACCCCCGGGUUUCACCAUCCCCUCAGCCCCGAGUUUCUCCAUCCCCGUGCCCCCGUUCUUUAUCGUGCCCUCACCCCGGGUUUCACCCUCACCGUGUCCCCGUUCUUCACCGUGCCCUCAGCCCCGGGUUUCACCGUGCGCUCACCCCCGUUCUUCUCCAUUCCCUCACCCCGGGUUUCACCAUCCCCAUCACCCCCAUUCUUCACUGUGCCCUCACCCCCGUUCUUCUCCAUUCCCUCACCCCGUUCUUCACCGUGCCCUCACCCCCGUUCUUCACCAUCCCCAUCACCCCCGGGUUUCACCCUCCCCGUGCCCCCGGGUUUCACCAUGCCCUCACCCCCAUUCUUCACCGUGCCCUCACCCCCGGGUUUCACCGUGCCCUCACCCCGGGUUUCACCAUCCCCAUCACCCCCAUUCUUCUCCAUUCCCUCGCCCCUGGGUUUCACCGUGCCCUCACCCCCGUUCUUCACCGUGCCCUCACCCCGGGUUUCACCAUCCCGUCACCCCCGGGUUUCACCGUGCCCUCACCCCGGGUUUCACCCUCACCGUGUCCCCGUUCUUCACCGUGCCCUCACCCCGGGUUUCACCCUCCCCGUGCCCCCCGGCUUCUCCCCGCAGCAGCAGAGCCUGGAGCGGGCAGUGCCAGGGCAGCGCCCCAGACCCGUGUCUGCCCUGCCCGGCUGUGCCAGCGCCGCGGGCGGUGCCCGGGCCUCGCCGGCAGGUGAGAGCGGUGGGUGGGAAUGUCCAGGGAGGCGGCGGUGCCCAGGAGAUUUGGGAUUUCUGUGUCCUCCCACCUUUCCCUUCCUGCUGA